rnacentral:misc_RNA from 1 species
GAAAUGCGAUACGUAGUGUGAAUUGCAGAAUUCCGUGAACCAUCGAAUCUUUGAACGCAUAUUGCGCUCGAGGCUUCGGCCGAGAGCAUGUCUGCCUCAGCGUCGGUUUACCCCCUCGCUUCCCCAUCCCUGUGAUGGUUAACGCUUGUGCUAUUGCCGAGCGCCGAAGCGGAUCUGGUUUUCCCAAUGCCUGCUUGCAUGCGUUGGGUUGACUGAAGCGUAGAGGCUUGAGCAAGGACCCUCCAUGGGCUCAACUGGAUAGGUAGCUCGUCUACUCAUAGUUGAUGCUUGUGGCCUUGCUGGAGGCCUGCAGGAAACGUGCUUGCACGUAUCUAAACCUUCGACCUGAGCUCAGGCAAGAACACCCGCUGAACUUAA